UUAAAUUUAUUUUCGUUUCAGACAAACACUUUACGGCAUAAAACUGGCGCCGACGGCGCCAAAGCACAUCUUCCUUCCUCGGGUUUCAAAAGCUGAAGCCAAUCGUUAAUGAUCCCUCCGCAGGUUCACCUACGGAGA
rnacentral:misc_RNA from 1 species